rnacentral:rRNA from 1 species
AUUGAACGCUGGCGGCAGGCCUAACACAUGCAAGUCGAACGAGUGGCGGACGGGUGAGUAAUGUCUGGGAAACUGCCCGAUGGAGGGGGAUAACUCCUUGAAACGGUAGCUAAUACCGCCUACCAUCGGAUUUGCCCAGAUGGUAUUAGCUAGCAGGUGGGGGAACGGCUCACCUAGGCGACGAUCCCUAGCUGGUCUGAGAGGAUGACCAGCCACACUGGAACUGAGACACGGUCGAGACUCCUACGGUAGGCAGCAGUGGGGAAUAUUGCACAAUGGGCGCAAGGCUGAUGCAGCCAUGCCGCGGGUAUGAAGAAGGCCUUCGGGUUGUAAAGUACUUUCAGCGAGGAGGCGUUACUCGAAGAAGAAGCACCGGCUAACUCCGUGCCAGCAGCCGCGGUAAUUC